rnacentral:lncRNA from 1 species
CAGUUAAACGUGACCACCCGGCAUCUCGGUUCCAGGAAUUCAUUGCUUAGUUGAAGGACUCUAUGCAGACUGAGAUCCAGAAACUUGGUGCACAUGGACCUUUGGGUCUCUGCGUGAGGCAGGCKUGCUCUCCUGUAUCCUGAGGAAGGAUUCCAAAGCUGAAAACUCUCAGACUCUCUGUGCUCCUGGAUUCCUGGGCCACACAGCUUUGAACAAACUUACGGGGACAGGUUGCUUCCUGAGGAUCUCUGUGUGUUCAAAACAUAAUCAAAAAAGGUAAGGAUGUUUUUCUUAGGAGAAGAGCCGGAAAUGCAGAACGAUUUUUGUUGCAGGAGGCAGCCAUGUUUUCAAACUAAC